rnacentral:lncRNA from 1 species
UUUUGUGACCCCUAAUAAAAGUUUUGUGACCUAUAAUUAAUCAGGUUAAGAUCACAAUCACACACAAUUUAUAGUCACAGUCACAUACCAAUCACAAAUUUAGUUGCAAAUCAUAUGUUAUUUAGGUUACAUAUUAUUUAUCAGAAUGUCAGUCACAAAGACACAAAUUGUGAGUUACAAGUACAAAUUUUAUCAUAAAUUAUAUAUUUUUAUGGGUUACGGUUUAUUUAUCAAACAGAAUUCAUCAAAUUCACUGGUCAUAAUUAUCCAAUCACUGGUUACAAUUUGCUCUUCAUCUCCCCUACCUCACCUUACCCACGCAUCAUACUCCACCAUAGUCCCUCACCAUCGAAAUCACUGUCGCCACCUCAAACCCACAACCUAGCACCUCCUCCUCCUCAAAUUCACUGUCACCUCCAUCACACCACCACUACUGCCAUCACC